AAUCUGGAACUUAUCUUCAACACCGUCAUUUUAUUGUUCGUUAAUGACCUAGACGAAAAGAUGUAUUCAUGCUUGGAAACAAUCAGGCCCAAAUGGAUGAAAAUGACUUGUGACAACAUAAAAACUACCUUCAGCAAUAACAGUGAUUCUGGAGAG
rnacentral:ribozyme from 1 species